ACAUUUCUACAACAUAGCGUUAAUGCACCAAUUCCCUUUAGAACUCCAUAGUUAAGCGUGCUCAGGCUAGAGUAGUAUUGGGAUGGGUGACCACCCGGAAAGUCCUACUAUUCCUAUGGC
rnacentral:rRNA from 1 species